rnacentral:rRNA from 1 species
CGCGCGAUACAGGGUGACAGCCCCGUACACAAAAAUGCACAUACUGUGAGCUCGAUGAGUAGGGCGGGACACGUGGUAUCCUGUCUGAAUAUGGGGGGACCAUCCUCCAAGGCUAAAUACUCCUGACUGACCGAUAGUGAACCAGUACCGUGAGGGAAAGGCGAAAAGAACCCCGGCGAGGGGAGUGAAAAAGAACCUGAAACCGUGUACGUACAAGCAGUGGGAGCCUCUUAAUGGGGUGACUGCGUACCUUUUGUAUAAUGGGUCAGCGACUUAUAUUCUGUAGCAAGGUUAACCGAAUAGGGGAGCCGAAGGGAAACCGAGUCUUAACUGGGCGUUAAGUUGCAGGGUAUAGACCCGAAACCCGGUGAUCUAGCCAUGGGCAGGUUGAAGGUUGGGUAACACUAACUGGAGGACCGAACCGACUAAUGUUGAAAAAUUAGCGGAUGACUUGUGGCUGGGGGUGAAAGGCCAAUCAAACCGGGAGAUAGCUGGUUCUCCCCGAAAGCUAUUUAGGUAGCGCCUCGUGAAUUCAUCUCCGGGGGUAGAGCACUGUUUCGGCAAGGGGGUCAUCCCGACUUACCAACCCGAUGCAAACUGCGAAUACCGGAGAAUGUUAUCACGGGAGACACACGGCGGGUGCUAACGUCCGUCGUGAAGAGGGAAACAACCCAGACCGCCAGCUAAGGUCCCAAAGUCAUGGUUAAGUGGGAAACGAUGUGGGAAGGCCCAGACAGCCAGGAUGUUGGCUUAGAAGCAGCCAUCAUUUAAAGAAAGCGUAAUAGCUCACUGGUCGAGUCGGCCUGCGCGGAAGAUGUAACGGGGCUAAACCAUG